AAAUAUAUCAAUUGGCCUUGCCUUCAAGCUGGUAGUGAUAGCAGACCGAUAUAUUUGCCUAUGGAGGUUUGCAGCAUAACCGCGGGACAAAGAUAUUCUCGGAAGUUGAAUGAACGCCAAGUUUCAAGCAUACUAAAGAUGGCAUGUGAAAGACCAGCUCAACGGGAGAGCAGUGUUCUAGAGAUUGUUAAUAGGAAUAAUUAUGGCAAUGAUGACUAUUCAAAAGAAUUUGGC